rnacentral:rRNA from 1 species
AUUGAACGCUGGCGGCAUGCCUUACACAUGCAAGUCGAACGGUAACGGGCCUUCGGGUGCCGACGAGUGGCGAACGGGUGAGUAAUGCAUCGGAACGUACCUUUCAGUGGGGGAUAACGUAGCGAAAGUUACGCUAAUACCGCAUAUUCUGUGAGCAGGAAAGCAGGGGAUCGCAAGACCUUGCGCUGAUUGAGCGGCCGAUGUCAGAUUAGCUAGUUGGUGAGGUAAAGGCUCACCAAGGCGACGAUCUGUAGCGGGUCUGAGAGGAUGAUCCGCCACACUGGAACUGAGACACGGUCCAGACUCCUACGGGAGGCAGCAGUGGGGAAUUUUGGACAAUGGGGGCAACCCUGAUCCAGCCAUGCCGCGUGAGUGAAGAAGGCCUCGGGUUGUAAGACUCUUCGUCCGGGAGAAAUACGCAUGGCUAAGUACCCUGUGCGGAGUGACGGUACCGGCGAUAAGAAGCAACCGGCUAACUAACGUGCCAGC